GACGAACGCUGGCGGCGCGCUUAACACAUGCAAGUCGAGCGAAGCGGCGGACGGGUGAGUAACCCGUGAGUAACCUGCCUUAGACAUUGGGAUAGCCUCGGGAAACCGGGAUUAAUACCAAAUGGUCUAAGAUGGACUCGCGUCCCAUUAGCUAGUUGGUGGGUAACGGCCCACCAAGGCGACGAGGGGUAGCCGGCCUGGGAAGGUGACCGGCAACAUUGGAACUGGGAAACGGUCCAAACUCUACGGGAGGCAGGAGUGGGGAAUAUUGAACAAUGGAGGGAACUCUGAUGCAGCGAGGCCGCGUGAACGAGGAAGGCUUUCGAGUCGUAAAGUUCUUUUAUAUGGGAAGCGGUACCAUAAGAAAAAGCCCCGGCUAACUACGUGCCAGCCGCCGCGGUAAUAC
rnacentral:rRNA from 1 species